rnacentral:rRNA from 1 species
UUCCAGACUCCUACGGGAGGCAGCAGUGGGGAAUAUUGCACAAUGGGGGAAACCCUGAUGCAGCGACGCCGCGUGUGGGAAGACGGUCCUCUGGAUUGUAAACCACUGUCCCCAGGGACGAAGAUGACGGUACCUGGGGAGGAAGCUCCGGCUAACUACGUGCCAGCAGCCGCGGUAAUACGUAGGUGGCGAGCGUUGUCCGGAAUUACUGGGUGUAAAGGGAGCGUAGGCGGGAGAGCAAGUCGACUGUGAAAUCUAUGGGCUUAACCCAUAGCUGCGAUCGAAACUGUUCAUCUUGAGUGAAGUAGAGGCAGGCGGAAUUCCUAGUGUAGCGGUGAAAUGCGUAAAUAUUAGGAGGAACACCAGUGGCGAAGGCGGCCUGCUGGGCUUUAACUGACGCUGAGGCUCGAAAGCGUGGGUAGCAAACAGGAUUAGAUACCCGCGUAC